GUGGGGAAUAUUGCACAAUGGGGGAAACCAUGAUGCAGCGACGCCGCGUGAGUGAAGAAGUAUUUCGGUACGUAAAGCUCUAUCAGCAAGGAAGAAAAUGACGGUACUUGACUAAGAAGCCCCGGCUAACUACGUGCCAGCAGCCGCGGUAAUACGUAGGGGGCAAGCGUUAUCCGGAUUUACUGGGUGUAAAGGGAGCGUAGACGGUAUGGUAAGUCAGAUGUGAAAGCCCGGGGCUCAACCCCGGGACUGCAUUUGAAACUAUCAGACUAGAGUGCAGGAGAGGUAAGUGGAAUUCCUAGUGUAGCGGUGAAAUGCGUAGAUAUUAGGAGGAACACCAGUGGCGAAGGCGGCUUACUGGACUGUAACUGACGUUGAGGCUCGAAAGCGUGGGGAGCAAACAGGAUUAGAUACCCGAGUAGUCC
rnacentral:rRNA from 1 species